rnacentral:rRNA from 1 species
CAGCAGCCGCGGUAAUACGUAGGUCCCGAGCGUUGUCCGGAUUUAUUGGGCGUAAAGGGAGCGCAGGCGGUUUAGUAAGUCUGAAGUUAAAGGCAUUGGCUCAACCGAUGUAUGCUUUGGAAACUGUUAGACUUGAGUGCAGAAGGGGAGAGUGGAAUUCCAUGUGUAGCGGUGAAAUGCGUAGAUAUAUGGAGGAACACCGGUGGCGAAAGCGGCUCUCUAGUCUGUCACUGACGCUGAGGCUCGAAAGCGUGGGUAGCGAACAGGAUUAGAUACCCCGGUAGUCCCUGUCUCUUAUACA